rnacentral:tRNA from 1 species
GCCUGGAUGGCGGAAUCGGCAGACGCAACGGACUUAAAAUCCGUUGUCCGUAAGGACGUGAGGGUUCAAGUCCCUCUCCAGGUACCA